GAUGAAGAACGCAGCGAGAUGCGAUAAGUAAUGUGAAUUGCAGAAUCCAGUGAAUCAUCGAAUCUUUGAACGCACAUUGCGCCCGCCAGCAUUCUGGCGGGCAUGCCUGUUCGAGCGUCAUUUCAACCCUCGACCUCCCCUUGGGGAGGUCGGCGUUGGGGACCGGCAGCACACCGCCGGCCCUGAAAUGGAGUGGCGGCCCGUCUGCGGCGACCUCUGCGUAGUAAUACAGCUCGCACCGGAACCCCGACGCGGCCACGCCGUAAAACACCCAACUUCUGAACGUUGACCUCGAAUCAGGUAGGACUACCCGCUGAACUUAAGCAUAUCAAUAAGCGGAGGA
rnacentral:misc_RNA from 1 species